AACGCAUAUUGCGCUCUUUGGUAUUCCGAAGAGCAUGCUUGUUUGAGUAUCAGUAAACACCUCAACCUCCUCUUGUUUUUUCAAAAGGAGGGUGGACUUGAGCUAUCCCAACAAUCCUUCGACAGAGUAGGAGGGUCGCUUGAAAUGCAGGUGCAGCUGGACAUUCUUCUGAGCUAAAAGCAUAUCUAUUUAGUCCCGUCAAACGGAUUAUUACUUUUGCUUCAGCUAAUACAAAGGUCGAAUGAACUACCAACGCUGAUUGCAGGAAAACUCGUUUUUUUACUAAAACUUGUAAACUCGAUCUCAAAUCAAGUAAGACUACCCGCUGAACUUAA
rnacentral:misc_RNA from 1 species